GCAUAUCAAUAAGCGGAGGAAAAGAAACCAACAGGGAUUGCCUUAGUAGCGGCGAGUGAAGCGGCAAGAGCUCAAAUUUGAAAUCUGGUACCUUCGGUGCCCGAGUUGUAAUUUGAAGAAGGUAUUCUUGGAGUUGGCCCUUGUCUAUGUUCCUUGGAACAGGACGUCACAGAGGGUGAGAAUCCCGUGCGAUGGGGUGUCCAAUUCUAUGUAAGAUUCCUUCGAAGAGUCGAGUUGUUUGGGAAUGCAGCUCUAAGUGGGUGGUAAAUUCCAUCUAAAGCUAAAUAUUGGCGAGAGACCGAUAGCGAACAAGUACAGUGAUGGAAAGAUGAAAAGAACUUUGAAAAGAGAGUGAAAAAGUACGUGAAAUUGUUGAAAGGGAAGGGCUUUAGAUCAGACUUGGUAUUUAGUGAUCGUUUCUCCUUGUGGGUUGCGCUCUCGCUUUUUACUGGGCCAGCAUCGGUUUGGAUGGCAGGAUAAUGACAGUUGAAUGUGGCUUCGCUUCGGUGGAGUGUUAUAGCUUCUGUUGAUACUGCCUAUCUAGACCGAGGUCUGCGUCUUAUGACUAGGAUGUUGGCGUAAUGAUCUAAAGCCGCCCGUCUUGAAACACGGACCAAGGAGUCUAAUGUCUAUGCGAGUGUUUGGGUGUAAAACCCGUACGCGUAAUGAAAGUGAACGUAGGUGAGAGCCCGCAAGGGUGCAUCAUCGACCGAUCCUGAUGUCUUCGGAUGGAUUUGAGUAAGAGCAUAGCUGUUGGGACCCGAAAGAUGGUGAACUAUGCCUGAAUAGGGUGAAGCC
rnacentral:rRNA from 1 species